UAUACGGCCAUGCCACCCUGAAUGCACCUGAUCUUGUCUGAUCCCAGAAGCUAAGCAGGGUUGGGCCUGGUUAGUACUUGGAUGGGAAAAAUAAAAAAAAGAAACAUUACAACUGGUAAAA
rnacentral:rRNA from 1 species